AACGUACCCUUCGGUUCGGAAUAACUCAGGGAAACUUGAGCUAAUACCGGAUACGCCCUUUUGGGGAAAGGUUUACUGCCGAAGGAUCGGCCCGCGUCUGAUUAGCUUGUUGGUGGGGUAACGGCCUACCAAGGCGACGAUCAGUAGCUGGUCUGAGAGGAUGAUCAGCCACACUGGGACUGAGACACGGCCCAGGCUCCUACGGGAGGCAGCAGUGGGGAAUAUUGGACAAUGGGCGCAAGCCUGAUCCAGCCAUGCCGCGUGAGUGAUGAAGGCCUUAGGGUUGUAAAGCUCUUUUGUCCGGGACGAUAAUGACGGUACCGGAAGAAUAAGCCCCGGCUAACUUCGUGCCAGCAGCCGCGGUAAUACGAAGGGGGCUAGCGUUGCUCGGAAUCACUGGGCGUAAAGGGCGCGUAGGCGGCCGAUUAAGUCGGGGGUGAAAGCCUGUGGCUCAACCACAGAAUUGCCUUCGAUACUGGUUGGCUUGAGACCGGAAGAGGACAGCGGAACUGCGAGU
rnacentral:rRNA from 1 species